rnacentral:rRNA from 1 species
UACGGGGGGGGCAAGCGUUGUUCGGAAUUACUGGGCGUAAAGGGUUUGUAGGUGGCUUGUUAAGUCAGACGUGAAAUCCCACGGCUCAACCAUGGAAGUGCACUCGAAACUGCAGGGCUAGAGUCCUGGAGAGGAAGGUGGAAUGCUUGGUGUAGAGGUGAAAUUCGUAGAUAUCGAGAGGAACACCUGCGGCGAAGGCGGGUUGCUGGGCUGACACUGACGCUGAUGCGCGAAAGCUAGGGGAGCGAACGGG